GACGAACGCUGGCGGCGUGCUUAACACAUGCAAGUCGAACGGAAAGGCCCUGCUUUUGUGGGGUGCUCGAGUGGCGAACGGGUGAGUAACACGUGUGUAACCUGCCCUUGACUUUGGGAUAACUUCAGGAAACUGGGGCUAAUACCGGAUAGGAUCUCCUGCUGCAUGGUGGGGGUUGGAAAGUUUCGGCGUUUGGGGAUGGACUCGCGGCUUAUCAGCUUGUUGGUGGGGUAGUGGCUUACCAAGGAUUUGACGGGUAGCCGGCCUGAGAGGGUGACCGGCCACAUGGGGACUGAGAUACGGCACAGACUGAUACGGGAGGAAGGAGUGGGGAAUAUUGCAAAAUGGGCGGAAGCCUGAUGCAGAAACGCCGCGUGCGGGAUGACGGCCUUCGGGUAGUAAAACGCUUUCGCAUGUGACGAAGCGUGAGUGACGGUAAUGGGUAAAGAAGCACCGGCUAACUACGU
rnacentral:rRNA from 1 species